rnacentral:rRNA from 1 species
CCUACGGGCGGCAGCAGUGAGGAAUAUUGGUCAAUGGACGCGAGCCUGAACCAGCCAAGUAGCGUGAAGGAUGACUGCCCUAUGGGUUGUAAACUUCUUUUAUAAAGGAAUAAAACGAGGCACGUGUGCCUUUUCGCAUGUACUUUAUGAAUAAGGAACGGCCAACCUCGUGCCAGCAGCCGCGGUAAUACGGAGGAUCCGAGCGUUAUCCGGAUUUAUUGGGUUUAAAGGGAGCGUAGAUGGGUUGUUAAGUCAGUUGUGAAAGUUUGCGGCUCAACCGUAAAAUUGCAAUUGAUACUGGCAGUCUUGAGUGCAGUAGAGGUAAGCGGAAUGCGUGGUGUAGCGGUGAAAUGCUUAGAUAUCACGAAGAACCCCGAUUGCGAAGGCAGCUUACUAGACUGUGACUGACAUUGAUGCUCGAAAGUGUGGGUAUCAAACAGGAUUAGAUACCCGGGUAGUC